rnacentral:rRNA from 1 species
UACGGGGGGAGCAAGCGUUGUUCGGAUUUACUGGGCGUAAAGGGCGCGUAGGCGGCGCGACAAGUCACUUGUGAAACCUCCGGGCUUAACCCGGAGCGGCCAAGUGAUACUGUAGUGCUAGAGUGCGGAAGGGGCUACUGGAAUUCUCGGUGUAGCGGUGAAAUGCGUAGAUAUCGAGAGGAACACCUGCGGCGAAGGCGGGUAGCUGGGCCGAACACGUGACGCUGGAGGCGCGAAAGCCAGGGAGCGAACGGG